rnacentral:tRNA from 1 species
GCUGGAGUCGCAUAACCUGGUAGUGCGGCAGUCUCGAAAACUGCUGUCCUUUACGGACUUCGAGGUUCAAAUCCUCGCUCCAGCG